UACAGAGGGUGCGAGCGUUGUCCGGAAUCACUGGGCGUAAAGGGCGCGUAGGUGGUGACCUAAGCGUGCGGUGAAAGCCCGAGGCUCAACCUCGGGUCGGCCGUGCGAACUGGGUCACUGGAGCAGAAUAGAGGCAGGUGGAAUUCCGGGUGUAGCGGUGGAAUGCGUAGAGAUCCGGAAGAACACCGGUGGCGAAGGCGGCCUGCUCGGUUCUGGCUGACACUGAGGCGCGACAGCGUGGGGAGCAAACAGG
rnacentral:rRNA from 1 species